AAAAAACUUUUCUAAGCUUCUCAACCUUUCUUCACUCAUCUCCCUCAAUAUUUCUUUAGAUCCUUGUGUUCUUGAGCACUUUUGCCACACACCCAUUUUUGGUGAAACCCAUUUUCAAAUCCAUCUUUUCUUUGCACCAACAUGUCUUCUUCUUCCAAUGGAUCUUAUUUUCUUACUUUUCAUGGCAAGAAAUAUGAUCCAACAUUUGAUUGGAAUGAUGAGGAGGGGCUCCUUCAAGUCCCCAAGACCCAUGCUCCAUAUUCUCAUAUGGACAUCAAGAGCCUUAAGAGUUGAGGUAGUCUCCAAAUGUUGAAGAGCGUAUGGGAAGCAUUGUCUCCUGCCAUCAGGAAUAUCAUCAAUGAUGCGGGCUUUGGUACUUUCUUUGAAGCUUUACUAAAUUAGGAGACUCAUGAAUACAAGGUCUUCCAGCUACUCCUCGCUUUGUCAGAACGCUUCUGGGACACCACAUGUACCUUCCAUUUUCUAGGCAUUGGUGAGGUAAUGUUGACACCUUACAACUUUUCCAUUAUCACUGGCUUGAAGUUGGGUGGUGAGAGAAUCCACGUCAAGAAACUUCUAGGUGUAAUGUCUUCCAAAAUGAGGAGUAAAAAUGUUCCUUUGUCGUGGUGAGAACAUUACCAAAUGUGAUACUAUGGCAAAGGGUACCUGCAUGUUCAUGCUUCUUUUCAUUGGGACUUUCUUGUGCCCGGAUUUAGGUAGUACAAUGAAUUUGUGUUAUUUAUGGAGCUUGAGAAACAUUGAGCAAAUCAAGAAUUAUGACUGGGGCUCCAUUUGUAUGGCAGGUCUGGAUGUAUGAAUACUUUGGAGUUAGCCCUGAAAUUUAGGAGGAUGUUAAUAACUAUUUUCCUAGAUUUCUCCGUUGGUUGCCCAAACAUUGUUUGUCAAUGCCCUCCAGGCAUUCUUUGGAAAUUUAGUGCUUGGUGAUUGACAACUUGACUACUAAUGAUAUGUCUUUGAAUCCUUGGGUUGGAUGUAAGGAGUAUGCAGAGUGUGAGUGGGCUUUGGAGUUGAAUAGCCAUCAGGUAUAGUUUGAGUGUGGGCAUGGAAGGUAUUGGUAUCUUGGUAAUUAGGUGUUGCCUCAAGUUCAACAUGUGUAUCCUCCUACAACAAUUCCAGUUCCUCCUUGUCCCUCCAUCCAGUUGGCUAACUUUUUGAUUGAUGAAGAGAUUUCUUAGGCCUGUGUUGGCUUUGCUGUUGUAGGAGUAGCCAGGACUUAUUUUGAAUUCAUUCGAACUCAUCUACAGGGUUGCUUGGCUAGCAUAUCGAUACCUCUCUUUCCUUUCUGAAGUUAAAUUCUCAUUUUGUAUACUCCUUCUCCAUAUUUUUGCUUGGUGACAACAUUUGCAUGUUGGAUUUUCAGACUCCAUCUUUUGAAGGAGAGGAAGAGGGAGAGGGAGAAGAAGAAGAAAUUCCUUCCCCUUACCAUAUUGGUAGCUCUUCUAGUUCUUUCAUGGAGACUUAUCCCCAUUUUCCAGCAUGGAAAUAUGAAGUGAUAAAUCCUAAUGGAACAUAUAGUUCCAUGCCUUUGAAUAGGCCAGAGCACACACCAAAUGCCCCUUGGCCUGAUCCAGCGUGUUCUUGAAUUUUUUUAGUUCCUUGUCUUUAUCUCUUCUUGGCUUACUGAAUGGCUCCUGAUCUUUGUAGAUUUGUGAUUCAGGUUGAUGUUUAUCUUGUGGAGGAAAAUAUGCAAAUGAUUAGAGGUUUGUAAGUAUUGGCUCGUACUCAGUUUUCCUGAUAUAUGAUCAGUGAGGCGAGCUGGGUAUGCAAUGAUGCUUUCCAAGUGGCUUUUGCUUGGAUUUUUCUUGACAAAUAACACUUGAUUUUGCUAACUUUUCAAGUGAGUCGAAUGGAAGUGGCUAAUUCCGCCAGAAGAACAUUGGAGGACAGGAUCAGAAACCUUGAACUUGAGAACCGUCAAUAUGAUCCUUGAUUCUAUACAAGUCAAGAAGGAAAUACUAAAGGCGGUUCCUCUAGAGGUGGGUCGAGGAGGUCUUCUCACAGGUGGACCCAGAGUCCCAAUGUUGUUUGAUUUAUAUUUUUAAUUUUUCUUGCAAAACAAAAGGAAAUGUUCCUUAGACAAUCUUUUAUUAACUUGCAUG